rnacentral:rRNA from 1 species
UACGUAGGGUGCGAGCGUUAAUCGGAUUUACUGGGCGUAAAGCGUGCGCAGGCGGCCCGUUAAGACAGGUGCGAAAUCCCUGGGCUCAACCUAGGAAUUGCGCUUGUGACUGGCGGGCUCGAGUACGGUAGAGGGGGGUGGAAUUCCUGGUGUAGCAGUGAAAUGCGUAGAGAUCAGGAGGAACACCGAUGGCGAAGGCAGCCCCCUGGGCCUGUACUGACGCUCAUGCACGAAAGCGUGGGGAGCAAACGGG